rnacentral:lncRNA from 1 species
CAAAACUUUUCAAUUACUCCAAAAUUGGCUUCAAAUGAAACAUCCCGAUGGUGGCCAUGAACAAGACCGAACCCAUUUCCUUCCUUUGAGAAUUACGUUCAAGAAUCGUUGAGAAAGCCAGUGGGUUCGCUUUGCAUACGUGUACUUAUUGUUUUUCGUUCAGAUGUUGUUUUGUGCUUUUUCUAUGUUUGGGUUCUUCUUUUGCCUUUCUUCAAAGCCACAAUCUCUGUGAUCAAAGUGGAAUAGGACAGUUAUAGGGUGGGUAUAUGUAUCCCGGUUGGAUAUGAUUGAAAUUUUUAGCGUAAAUUUUUGUGAAUUUUUUUUUUUUAAUUGCUCUGAAUCUGAAACAAAGUUCAGAAUUUUGUUCAA